rnacentral:rRNA from 1 species
UAGUCCACGCCGUAAACGAUGGUCACUAGCUGUUCGGACUUCGGUCUGAGUGGCUAAGCGAAAGUGAUAAGUGACCCACCUGGGGAGUACGUUCGCAAGAAUGAAACUCAAAGGAAUUGACGGGGGCCCGCACAAGCGGUGGAGCAUGUGGUUUAAUUCGAUGAUACGCGAGGAACCUUACCAGGGCUUAAAUGUAAGUUGCAUUAGUUAGAGAUAGCUAUUUCUUCGGACCACUUACAAGGUGCUGCAUGGUUGUCGUCAGCUCGUGCCGUGAGGUGUCAGGUUAAGUCCUAUAACGAGCGCAACCCCUGUUGUUAGUUGCCAGCGAGUCAUGUCGGGAACUCUAACAAGACUGCCGGUGCAAACCGUGAGGAAGUGGGGAUGACGUCAAAUCAUCACGGCCCUUACGUCCUGGGGCUACACACGUGCUACAAUGGCGGAUACAGAGGGGUUGCCAACUAGCAAUAGUGCGCUA